rnacentral:rRNA from 1 species
AGCAGCCGCGGUAAUACGAAGGGACCUAGCGUAGUUCGGAAUUACUGGGCUUAAAGAGUUCGUAGGUGGUUGAAAAAGUUGGUGGUGAAAUCCCAGAGCUUAACUCUGGAACUGCCAUCAAAACUUUUCAGCUAGAGUAUGAUAGAGGAAAGCAGAAUUUCUAGUGUAGAGGUGAAAUUCGUAGAUAUUAGAAAGAAUACCAAUUGCGAAGGCAGCUUUCUGGAUCAUUACUGACACUGAGGAACGAAAGCAUGGGUAGCGAAGAGGAUUAGAUACCCUCGUAGUCCAUGCCGUAAACGAUGUGUGUUAGACGUUGGAAAUUUAUUUUCAGUGUCGCAGCGAAAGCGAUAAACACACCGCCUGGGGAGUACGACCGCAAGGUUAAAACUCAAAUGAAUUGACGGGGACCCGCACAAGUAGUGGAGCAUGUGGUUUAAUUCGAAGAUACGCGCAGAACCUUACCAACACUUGACAUGUUCGUCGCGACUUUAAGAGAUUAAAGUUUUCGGUUCGGCCGGACGAAACACAGGUGCUGCAUGGCUGUCGUCAGCUCGUGUCGUGAGAUGUUGGGUUAAGUCCCGCAACGAGCGCAACCCUCACUUUUAGUUGCCAUCAUUAAGUUGGGCACUCUGAAAGAACUGCCAGUGAUAAGCUGGAGGAAGGUGGGGAUGACGUCAAGUCCUCAUGGCCCUUACGUGUUGGGCUACACACGUGCUACAAUGGUAUCUACAACAGGAAGCAAGACGGCGACGUUAAGCAAAUCCUUAAAAGAUACCUCAGUUCGGAUUGCACUCUGCAACUCGAGUGCAUGAAGCUGGAAUUACUAGUAAUCGUGGAUCAGCGUGCCACGGUGAAUGCGUUCCCGGGUCUUGUACACACCGCCCGUCACACCAUGGGAGUUGGUUCUACCUUAAGGCAAGGUUUCAAACCCUUGACCACGGUAUAGUCAGCGACUGGGGUGAAGUCGUAACAAGGUAACCG